rnacentral:rRNA from 1 species
CCUACGGGUGGCAGCAGUGAGGAAUAUUGGUCAAUGGACGCAAGUCUGAACCAGCCAUGCCGCGUGCAGGAAGACGGCUCUAUGAGUUGUAAACUGCUUUUGUACGAGGGUAAACGCAGAUACGCGUAUCUGUCUGAAAGUAUCAUACGAAUAAGGAUCGGCUAACUCCGUGCCAGCAGCCGCGGUAAUACGGAGGAUUCAAGCGUUAUCCGGAUUUAUUGGGUUUAAAGGGUGCGUAGGCGGGCGGAUAAGUUAGUGGUGAAAUCCCGAGGCUCAACUUCGGAAUUGCCUCUGAUACUGUUCGUCUAGAGAGUAGUUGCGGUAGGCGGAAUGUAUGGUGUAGCGGUGAAAUGCUUAGAGAUCAUACAGAACACCGAUUGCGAAGGCAGCUCACCAAGCUACUUCUGACGUUGAGGCACGAAAGCGUGGGGAGCAAACAGGAUUAGAUACCCCUGUAGUC